rnacentral:misc_RNA from 1 species
GACUUGGUAAUGACACGAGCAUCAGCUGAAACAAAUUUGAAGACCGUUCCCACCAACUACAGCCUUUAAGCACUGAAAUCCGCACGACUCCAGCUCUGUGAUGACCUUAUCAAUAACUGUGCUAGAUAGCAAUGUUGGUAGCAAAGUCAGAACACAGCCUCCACCACCAGCUCCAGUCAACUUGGAAGCUAGUUUGUACUUCAGUGUUGUCCGGAGCACUGACUCUAUAGACGAAUGGCUGACCCCCAUGC